rnacentral:rRNA from 1 species
GACGAACGCUGGCGGCGUGCCUAAUACAUGCAAGUCGAACGAGUAGCGGACGGGUGCAUAAUAUAUCGGCACGUGCCCAGUAGCGGGGGCUAACUACUAUAAACAGUGGCUACUACCGCAUACUAUUGGAGAGGCCGAUAGCGGAUUAGCUAGUUGGUGGGGUAAAGGCUCACCAAGUCAACGAUCCGUAGCAGGUUUGAGAGGACUACCAGCCACACUGGGACUGAGACACGGCCCAGACUCCUACGGGUGGCAGCAGUAGGGAAUUUUGGACAAUGGGGGAAACCCUUAUGCAGCCAUCCCGCGUGUAUGAGAAGGCUUUCGGGUUGUAAAGUACUUUUGGCAGAGAAGCGGUAUCUGCAGAAGAAGCACCGGCUAACUACGUGCCAGCCGCCGCGGUAAUAC